AGACGAAAUUCAAGUUAAAAUAGAUAACGAAGAACGAGAAACACAAUCCGAUCUAUAAAAUGAUCAUAUCGCCACGGUCUUUCAAUUUGUGCUUUUCAUCUUGAUUCGUUUGAAAUUUUCUAUUUUCUAUUUUCUAUUUUCUUUUUCUUUUUUUUUUUUUUUCAGUUUUUGCCUUUCUUCUAUUUACGAACGAACGUGUGUUAUCCAUUGACGUUUGAUUCGGAACAUCAUUUCGCGUAAUUGAGGAAAAUUUUAUUUCUUUCAAAAUCUCAAUGAUGAACGGAGGAGGAUAAUUUUGGAGAGAGAAAGAAAGAAAAAAUCGCGUUGGAUUGGUUGUGAAAAAAUUCUUAUUCUUUUUUUAUAUUCCGAAAAUAUAUACGCCCGUUGAAAUUUAUUUUAGAUUCGAGCGAAAAAUUGAAGAGACAAAAAAUUUUCAAUUCAAAUUGAACGAGCUAAUCGACUCUUAUUAGAAUAAACGAAUCUUGGAGACGACGUCUCGAUGUAAUACGAACCGCCAAGAGAGAGAAAAAGUUUAAUUUUAUUUUAUUUCAUUUUUAUUUUUCAUCCUCAUCCUCAAACCGUAAAUUAACUGCAAUCGUCAACUGUGCGCGUAAAAAAGGGAGAAUCGUUAAGAAAAAAAAAAAAAAAAAAAAAAGAAACUGCAGAUUAAUAUAUUAGUCAUUAUCAUCAUAUAGCGUAUAACGACGAUUUUAAUUAAUUCAAACGAUGACACAAUUAUUGCAUUGCGAAGAAAAAGGAAGAACCAACAAACCACGACGUUGAAAAAGUAAAGCAAAUUAAUUAGCUUGAAUUAAAAUCAUCAAAUUUUAUUCUUGGCAAAGGAAAAUCAUUUCAAAUUGUGAAAUCUUAUAACGUACAUAGAUUGGUGCGCGUGUGUUUUAUCCAAAAAUAUUUUUUUCGCCCCCUCCCUGCAAUUAUAUAUACGCAUAUAUCCAUACAUAUGAAAAUGAGAGGGAGGCUCCUGCAGUUUUGAUGUGACGAAGGAGCCUAAAAUAAUUAAAUAACUCGAAGAGCUCCGGAAAUAAGAAUUAUUUAUAGAAAUGACGAUGCGUUUGAAUUAAAAAAUAUGGUUAUCAAUUAAAUCGAUUAACGACGAUGUCCAGAAUCGACGGCGCAGAAGGCGCUCGAUACAUAUUAUUGAUCGACGAUCGAUUAAUGGAUUGAAUAAAUUCAGUGAGCGGAAUCGAAGAGAGAAAUAAAAUGAAGAUAGAACUAUAGUUUCGUUGGUGUAUUCGCUCUACGUUCGGAGUGCCGCGGAAGAUGAAUUGAGGAACCGAUAUACGAACGAAGUUCGAUAUGGGCAUUUGAAUCAGAUUGGUAAUCUGUAUUAAAAAAAUUGUAAAGAGACGCGGAUAAAUUUCCGAUCGUCAAGAUGACCACGGAUCUGGUACCGACGCUGCAAACCAACGUUACGAACGCUACGGUAAAAUUCGAUUUCGGUGAUUACGACGUAGAUGAAUCUCUCACUAAUUUCAAAUGGAAGGAACUAGCUCCGGCUCUCGCCGUAUACAGCUUUACCUUCUGUCUCGGUUUAGCUGGAAACCUGCUGAUAAUCGCCUCCACCUUGUGUCCUCGUUUGAGACCGCUCCCUUCGACACCGACGAACGUAUUCCUCGGCGGUUUGGCGACUGCGGAUCUCCUUUUAAUCAUAUUCUGCAUACCAGUCAAGAUCGCUAAAUUAUUCUCCUACACUUGGAGCAUGGGACUUUUUCUCUGCAAAGCCGUGCACUACAUGCAGAGCGUGUCGGCCAUAUGUUCCGUCUUGACCCUGACAGCGAUGUCCAUCGAAAGAUACUACGCCAUCGUACACCCCAUGAGGGCGCAAUACACCUGCACUAUAAGUCAGGCCAGAAGAAUCGUCAUUAUGACUUGGAUAACUUCGUUCCUAUUGGCUAUACCGAUUAUAUUCACACAGAGGCACAAGGUCGUGGGUAGGAAAUAUCUGGCUUAUUGGUGCAUACGUGAUUACGAGGCAGGUACGUUAUGGCGUCUCCACGAGCUCUACAUGUUCCUCUUGGUCCUGGUUGUCCCUCUUAUCGUUAUGGCGUUUUGCUACACGGCUAUAUGUUGGGAAAUAUGGAGAGUAAUGAAGAGAAGAUAUCACAUGACUUCUCGUCACGCUUUGAAUCCCACCAACAAUAUGGGGUCGGAAUGCAUUCCGAUGACCGACCAACACGGCAGCACGAGAAACGGAAGGAGAGGACGUCGAGACGACGGCAGGACAGAAGAGGAAUCACGCACGAUGAAACAGGUUGUGAAAAUGCUGGUCGCUGUCGUGGUUCUUUUCGUCAUAUGUUGGGGCCCGAUGUUGACCGACAACGUGUUGACUGCCUACGGAGUUUUGGCCCGCGUUAAAUCUGGAUCUUCGAAACACGCCAACGUUGUUUUUCAACUAAUGGCUUACUUCAACAGCUGCAUAAAUCCCAUCGUCUACGGAUUCAUGUCGAAGCAUUUCCGCGAGAGUUUUCUGUCAGCGGCAUGUGGAAGUUGGUGGUGUUGCUGCCGGAGAAGAAACUAUCGUUCUUCGGGUCGCGUCAAGCGACACCCGAGUCUGAGCCAGACGAGGACCACGAGUGUUCGGUGGCGUCAACUUUCGCUGAGCAUGAUGUUCCCUUUGACGAACACCGUUAAAUCUACUCGUACGGUUGUUGUAUAGAGUAGCCCGCCACUACCCUCCACACUCUACUGUCAUGUGCGUAGAAAUUAUCAAUCUGAAAAAUUCAAUUAGAAUUUUAGGUUGACUGAAUAAAUAAAGUUCAUGGUGGACCUGAUUCUACCUCAACCCUUGGAAUCGCUACCGCGACGAGGGAAAUUAUUAAUUAAUUAUAAAUAUAAAUAUAUUUCUACAUGAAUUUCAUUUAUUCAUAAGUAAAUAGAAUAUUUUCUUAUAAUUAUUGUCACAAUCAUAAUUGCGUUUUGCUGUGAACAGUUUUCCUGUAUUUAUUGUAAGUACUAGUAUUGAUUAAUUUUAUAUUUCUCGCGUCAUCUUCGCAAUUGAUUUCAAUCUUUUUUCUUUUUUUUUCUAUUUCUCUUCUCUGGUUGAUGUGUAUGGAUCGAUCAGGCCUCGUUCGUUUUUGAAGGGACGUCUUCGCAACGCCCGGUUUCUCGUAACCGAACCUGAUUGAAACGUUCAAUUUAACGUCGGACAAUCCGCCGAUAUAGAUUGGGCACACGUAUGUACGUACCACAUUCGUAUAUACACGUAUACACGAAAGGCUAUUCACGAUUGGGAUGAAAAUUAGAAAGAAUAGUUUCCCGCGAAACGAGAAAGGUGUUGCAGAAAAACCGACGGUAAAUCGAUUUUUGUUCAACUGAACUUGACGGUUGAAAAAUAGCCGUGAAAGUGGCUGCUGCUGCCGUCACUGCUGUUGCUAUUCAGUUUUUCUUCGUCUUUUUCACUUCGUUUCGCGCGACCAUACAAACGAAAAAUGAGAAGAAAAAAGCGGGGAAAAAAUAUUUGAUUUAGUUUUUCGUGUCGCGGAAUUAGAUGACACAGGUUGAAUUCGAAGACCAUUAUGUAAAUUGAACAUGCUUAUUGUUUCUUAUUUAUUUAAACAUCAAUUCGAAUGUAACUAAUGUGAAAUUAUGAUAAUUAUUUGAGCCGUCGGGAAAACGCAUCGGAAUUGUUAAAACAAAUUGUCUCGUUCACCUUUGAUUUAUCGCUACAAUUUGGGGCGUAGCGAAUUUCAGCGGUGAAUGUCAAAUUUGACGAGGGGUUCGCGUGCGAUGAAAAUGUUUUUUUUUAUUUUUAUGUUCUGUUCCGAUUUCAAUAAAAAAUAUUUGAUUGCAUCCGUACGAAUGUCGAAGAGAUAAAUAAUAAUUAUUUUUACUUAGAAUGGCAUUUGGCUAAAUAAAAAAAUUCAUACACGAUAAUCGAUAGGAUCGAUGUACAUAUAUUUAAAUGACCCGUAAUGUAAUUAUAAUUUUACCUAAUUGAUGUACAAUUAAUAUACACGAACGUUAUACGUAAUAUACAUACCUAUACGCGCUAAAACUAUUCUUAAUUAAUCGUGAUGUGGUGAGAAUAAUUGUACGAUUGUCAGAUACAUCGGUCAUGUAUUUAUUAUGUUUAGGUAAGAUGUGAUGUAAUCGAUGUUAAUGAUAAUGACGGACAACUAGAGUCUAAUUAACUGUGGAUAAAUGUAUAUGAAUUAUAUUAAUAUAAAAGGCUUGCGAUUCGCAAAAUGAA